GUGUCAGCCGCCGCGGUAAUACGGAGGGUGCGAGCGUUGUUCGGAAUCACUGGGCGUAAAGCGCGUGUAGGCGGCCCAUUAAGUCUGAUGUGAAAGCCCGGGGCUCACCCCCGGAAGUGCAUUGGAAACUGAUGGACUCGAGUCCCGGAGAGGAGAGUGGAAUUCCUGGUGUAGCGGUGAAAUGCGUAGAUAUCAGGAGGAACACCGGUGGCGAAGGCGGCUCUCUGGACGGUGACUGACGCUGAGACGCGAAAGCGUGGGGAGCAAACAGGAUUAGAUACCCGCGUAGUCC
rnacentral:rRNA from 1 species